GUUCUUAUGAGAUUGUCAGAGCUGAGGGAGAAAAAACUCUAAUGUGCCUGUUCCCUCUUCUGUAUUGUCUGUUGAAACAGAUUGACUCCACCUCAGCCUGAGAAAACAUCCUCUGAGGAGUGGGAACGGAGAGAGAAGUCAUUCCAUCUGAAUUUGUGUCUGCAAGCAGCUCUCUGUGGGAGUGAAUCUUUACUCACCACUGUCAGGACACUGCUUACACUCUCCAGUGUUGACAAUGAAUCUGAUCUCCUCUUAGAUCUGUACUCUCAUUUUAGAGACUAUGAGUCACAAACUGGCAGGAGUCUCAUUUCAACACUACUGCCUGUUUACCACUCAGCUCCUGCAGUCUGGUCCAUAGACCUCUCAAAGAGAAAGGCCUCCAUCUUCCUAGAGGUGCUGAAACUCCAAACACAGAAGAGACCAGUAGAGCUGAGAGGCUGGUCAGAUGAAGAGAGUGAAGUCAGGAGUUUCCUUCAGUGUCUGCCCUACAUCUCACAACUGAGUUUCUAUCCAGAUGAGGGUGAAAAGAGAAUACAGUCAUUCCACAUGAAUCUGUGUGUUCAAGCAGCUCUUGAUGGCAAUUCAUCGGCAGUCACCACAGUACAGGCAUUGCUGAGGUCUUAUGUUGAUGGAUCUGCCUUUAUUCACUUCCUGAUGGAGCUAUACUCACAUGUGAAGACCUGUGAGGCUCAAAAGGGCAGGAAGCUUCUUCCAACAUUGCAGCCAGUUUUCCACUCAGCUCCUGCAGUCUGGUCCGUAGACCUCUCAGAGAGAAAGGCCUCCAUCUUCCUAGAGGUGCUGAAACUCCAAACACAGAAGAGACCAGUAGAGCUGAGAGGCUGGUCACAUGAAGAGAGUGAAGUGAGGAGUUUCCUUCAGUGUCUGCCCUGCAUCUCACAACUCAGAUUUGAUCAGGAGGUAAAACAAAAGAAGUCAAACACAAUAAUCCAGUUCCUGGUGACUCUCAGCGUAGCAGCAGCUGAACGUGAUUCAACCUCAGGAGAGGGUUUAUUUAAGCUCUUAUCAUCUGCCUGCCGCUGCUACUUCUUUCCUUAUGAGAACUAUGCUGAUGAUAAUGCCAUUCAGAGUGAUUUCUUGCUGGAUCUAUACCUCCAUGCUCAGGCCUGUGAAGCUGAAACAGCCAAGAGUCUCCUUUCAACAUUGAAGCAGAUUUACCAUUUAGUUCCUGCAGUCUGGUCCAUAGACCUCUCAGAGAGAAAGGCCUCCAUCUUCCUAGAGGUGCUGAAACUCCAAACACAGAAGAAACCAGUAGAGCUGAGAGGCUGGUCAGAUGAAGAGAGUGAAGUGAGGAGUUUCCUUCAGUGUCUGCCAUACAUCUCACAACUCAGAUUGCAUGGUGGCUGUGAGGCCCAGUCCCUCCUAAUGGAUUGUGCAGAUGUUGGGUCUAGAGAGGAACUGAUCCAUCUGGUCAAGUGUCUGGACUUUAAUCUCCAGCUGAAAGGGGACCUACACAACUCCAAGUGCAGGUCUUUGGGACGGGUGCUUAGCUGGGUACCCUACAAACUGGACCUCACUCUGACACCUGAGCACAUCUCUCUCAGGGGAAUCAGGCUGCUCUUCAGAGGGGUCUCUCACCUUCACAAACUCAGGUUGAAUGGCAAAAUACUGAUGAGAUUUGCCAGCGCGAUGAGGACAUCAGGAUUUGUGGCUCCAGUCACAGUUGAGGAGCUCAGCCUGGAGCUCGACAGCCUCAGCGUGUCUCAGAGAGCGCUGUCCAGGGUCCUGAGCAGUCUGUCUCUCCUCCUCAGGCUCUGGACUGUCCAAUGUCUGGAUCUGACAUCUUGCAGAGUCGAAGGUCACUCUCUCAUCAUUCUGCUCUGUCUACAGGACCCUCUUCAGCUCAGACUGAGUAAGGAAACUAUGCAGCAGCUGGUUAUGCUUGUGUCUGAAGCACAGGAAGUGGAAAUCACCCAGUCCUUCCUGAACAAGGUGGGAGGAGACCUGACCUCCUGCACUUUGACCCAGGAAGUGCUUUUCUACCUGCUGCAGCACCACCCUGGACCUGUGACCGUGGACUUCAGGAAGAGCAAGAUCACAGAGACGAACAUUAGAGAACUCCUUCCUCUGCUGGACAGGAUACAAAUGAAGAGGCUCACUCCAGGCUUCGUGAGGUCUGCCAUCAGAGAGAUCUACCAGACUCGUUCUCCUCACACGGCCAGGGUGUCAGACUCAACCUGA
rnacentral:lncRNA from 1 species